CAACAUUUGUGUGCAUGCAAGAACUUUCAGUCACUUUUUUCGCUUUAUUCAACUGCCAUCUUUGUUUACACAGACUAGCCGUGAUGAAAAAUUAUCACCAUCAUUGCACUAGCCGGGACCCUCAUCCAGUGCCUCGUCCAGUGCAUAAUGUAGCACGAUUCAAGGUGAAUCUGCGGCAAGCAAAAAACAUUAACGAGAGUCAUCCACCUACAUCCGUAAGAUUUCGGCAUGGAUAGAAUUGGACGCGCUGGUGAUUGGCAGUUCGAACAGCUGCGCAUACUAAAGUGGACUCAAGAAUUACGGGCAUUUCGAGGUGGAUUAGAUUGUUUUUUCAAGUAAUUUAUUGAAAAUAAA